AUCGAGAGAGAGAGACUAAGAGACCGAGAGAGAAAUGAAUAAAAAAAAUGAAGAAGAAUGAGGAAGAGGAGGAAUAGGUGUUGGCUUUUCAAUUUCCAUUCUUUACUUCUCCUUAUUUUCAAGAGACGUCUUCAUCCUUGAGCCCGACAUAUUAUGUCCUAAUAGUGGGGAAGUGAUAUGGACUUCAGUUAAGCUGCCCAAAGGCGAAGAGUCGAGAUAUCGGACAAACUUUACUGAGCUCCGUCUUAUAGGGUCCAGUGGCUUUGGUGUUGUGGCAGAAUGCAAAAAUAAGUUGGACAAAAAAGUUUAUGCAGUUAAAAAAAAUAUCUUUGAAGGCUGCCAAUAUGUCUUUUCAGAAAAUCUUGAGUCUUGGAUUGAGCCCGUUGUGUCUGGAUGCUCUAAUGACUUGUGGGAGUCAGACGAGAUAUAAUCACCUUGCCUCUAUAUAGUGAUGGAAUAUUGUCCAGGGUGUUUGAGCUCGUUUCUCGAUGAUUUCAGUAGCCACUAGAGUAGGGAGCAGGCUUUGGUGAUUUUUCGACAAAUUGUGCAAGUAUUGGCCCACAUUCAUGAGAUGAUCAUUAUUCAUCGAGAUCUAUCUCGAUCAAAUAUAUUUUUGGAUGAAGAUGGGAACGUGAAAGUAGGAGACUUUGGAUUAGAUAAAUUGAAGCUCAAAUGAGUUUUAUGCAGUGUCAUAGUUUAGUUUAAUUUUUAGUUUAUUGGAGAUUGCAUUUUAUUCUUUUUGGUGCAGCAAAGAAGUUGGAUGAUGAUGGUAACACCUUAGUGUCGACUAGUGAUGGAACAAACAGAGAGCUCCGGAGUAUGCUUACAGGGAGGUUGAUGCCAAGGUGGACAUUUAUAGCCUUGGCAUGAUGCUCGUGGAGUUAUUAUACCCAUUUGAUACAGGAUUUGAAAGGACUAAAGUUUUGGGGGACCUGAAAACGGAGUUUAUCCAGAUGAAUGGAACGUUCAGCAUAAAGUAGUUAUUGGCAGACUGAUCUCAGAGAGCCCCUUGGCUCGGCCCACUGCUGUUGAAAUAUUGGAGGAUGAAAAUUUUAUUGGCUGAGGAUUUUCUAUAUAAAACUCCCCUAUUGGGAUGCAUAAACUUCUCGUAAUGAUUGUAAUGUAAACAGUAAAAUGUGCACGAAAUGAAUUUUAUCGCACGCUUUACACGCUCCCAUUUUUAGCA